rnacentral:rRNA from 1 species
GAAUACGUUCCCGGGCCUUGUACACACCGCCCGUCACACCACGAGAGUUUGCAACACCCGAAGUCGGUGAGGUAACCUAAACCACCCCAAAAAGUAUUACUUUUUGGGGACCCCGGUUGGGAGCCAGCCGCCGAAGGUGGGGUAGAUGAUUGGGGUGAAGUCGUAACAAGGUAUCCGUACCGGAAGGUGCGGAUGGAUCACCUCCUUUCUACGGAG